GCUGUCAGUGAUGAUGAUUCAACGUAAAUUUUUUGAGUUUAACUGACCAUGAAAUAUCUUACAUGCACUACCAUCUGAGACGCC
rnacentral:snoRNA from 1 species